UACAGAGGGUGCAAGCGUUGUUCGGAAUUAUUGGGCGUAAAGGGCGCGUAGGCGGUGCUAUAAGUCUGUGGUGAAAGCCCAGAGCUCAACUCUGGAAUUGCCUUUGAGACUGUGAGGCUUGAGUACGGGAGAGGUGAGUGGAAUUCCCAGUGUAGAGGUGAAAUUCGUAGAUAUUGGGAAGAACACCGGUGGCGAAGGCGGCUCACUGGCCCGAAACUGACGCUCAUGCACGACAGCGUGGGGAUCAAACAGG
rnacentral:rRNA from 1 species